GGUUAAGCGACUAAGCGUACACGGUGGAUGCCCUGGCAGUCAGAGGCGAUGAAGGACGUGCUAAUCUGCGAAAAGCGCCGGCGAGGUGAUAUGAACCUUUGACCCGGCGAUGUCCGAAUGGGGAAACCCAGUGCAAUCCGUUGCACUAUCGUUAACUGAAUACAUAGGUUAACGAGGCGAACCGGGGGAACUGAAACAUCUAAGUACCCCGAGGAAAAGAAAUCAACCGAGAUUCCCCCAGUAGCGGCGAGCGAACGGGGAGCAGCCCGGAGUCUGAAUCAGCUUGUGUGUUAGUGGAACGGUCUGGAAAGUCCGACGGUACAGGGUGAUAGUCCCGUACACGAAAGCACACAUGCUGUGAACUCGAAGAGUAGGGCGGGACACGUGGUAUCCUGUCUGAAUAUGGGGGGACCAUCCUCCAAGGCUAAAUACUCCUGACUGACCGAUAGUGAACCAGUACCGUGAGGGAAAGGCGAAAAGAACCCCGGCGAGGGGAGUGAAAAAGAACCUGAAACCGUGUACGUACAAGCAGUGGGAGCCUCUUUAUGGGGUGACUGCGUACCUUUUGUAUAAUGGGUCAGCGACUUAUAUUCUGUAGCAAGGUUAACCGUAUAGGGGAGCCGAAGGGAAACCGAGUCUUAACUGGGCGUUAAGUUGCAGGGUAUAGACCCGAAACCCGGUGAUCUAGCCAUGGGCAGGUUGAAGGUUGGGUAACACUAACUGGAGGACCGAACCGACUAAUGUUGAAAAAUUAGCGGAUGACCUGUGGCUGGGGGUGAAAGGCCAAUCAAACCGGGAGAUAGCUGGUUCUCCCCGAAAGCUAUUUAGGUAGCGCCUCGUGAACUCAUCUUCGGGGGUAGAGCACUGUUUCGGCUAGGGGGCCAUCCCGGCUUACCAACCCGAUGCAAACUACGAAUACCGAAGAAUGUUAUCACGGGAGACACACGGCGGGUGCUAACGUCCGUCGUGAAGAGGGAAACAACCCAGACCGCCAGCUAAGGUCCCAAAGUCAUGGUUAAGUGGGAAACGAUGUGGGAAGGCACAGACAGCCAGGAUGUUGGCUUAGAAGCAGCCAUCAUUUAAAGAAAGCGUAAUAGCUCACUGGUCGAGUCGGCCUGCGCGGAAGAUGUAACGGGGCUAAACCAUGCACCGAAGCUGCGGCAGCGACGCUUAGGCGUUGUUGGGUAGGGGAGCGUUCUGUAAGCCGUUGAAGGUGUGCUGUGAGGCAUGCUGGAGGUAUCAGAAGUGCGAAUGCUGACAUAAGUAACGAUAAAGCGGGUGAAAAGCCCGCUCGCCGGAAGACCAAGGGUUCCUGUCCAACGUUAAUCGGGGCAGGGUGAGUCGACCCCUAAGGCGAGGCCGAAAGGCGUAGUCGAUGGGAAACAGGUUAAUAUUCCUGUACUUGGUGUUACUGCGAAGGGGGGACGGAGAAGGCUAUGUCAGCCGGGCGACGGUUGUCCCGGUUUAAGCAUGUAGGCGGAGGUUCCAGGUAAAUCCGGUACCUUAUUAACGCUGAGGUGUGAUGACGAGGCACUACGGUGCUGAAGUGAUAAAUGCCCUGCUUCCAGGAAAAGCCUCUAAGCAUCAGGUAACACGAAAUCGUACCCCAAACCGACACAGGUGGUCAGGUAGAGAAUACCAAGGCGCUUGAGAGAACUCGGGUGAAGGAACUAGGCAAAAUGGUGCCGUAACUUCGGGAGAAGGCACGCUGAUAUGUAGGUGAAGUCCCUGCGGACGGAGCUGAAAUCAGUCGAAGAUACCAGCUGGCUGCAACUGUUUAUUAAAAACACAGCACUGUGCAAACACGAAAGUGGACGUAUACGGUGUGACGCCUGCCCGGUGCCGGAAGGUUAAUUGAUGGGGUUAGCGGCAACGCGAAGCUCUUGAUCGAAGCCCCGGUAAACGGCGGCCGUAACUAUAACGGUCCUAAGGUAGCGAAAUUCCUUGUCGGGUAAGUUCCGACCUGCACGAAUGGCGUAAUGAUGGCCAGGCUGUCUCCACCCGAGACUCAGUGAAAUUGAACUCGCUGUGAAGAUGCAGUGUACCCGCGGCAAGACGGAAAGACCCCGUGAACCUUUACUAUAGCUUGACACUGAACACUGGUCCUUGAUGUGUAGGAUAGGUGGGAGGCUUUGAAGCGUGGACGCCAGUCUGCGUGGAGCCAACCUUGAAAUACCACCCUUUAAUGGCUGGUGUUCUAACGUAGACCCGUAAUCCGGGUUGCGGACAGUGUCUGGUGGGUAGUUUGACUGGGGCGGUCUCCUCCCAAAGAGUAACGGAGGAGCACGAAGGUUGGCUAAUCCUGGUCGGACAUCAGGAGGUUAGUGCAAUGGCAUAAGCCAGCUUGACUGCGAGCGUGACGGCGCGAGCAGGUGCGAAAGCAGGUCAUAGUGAUCCGGUGGUUCUGAAUGGAAGGGCCAUCGCUCAACGGAUAAAAGGUACUCCGGGGAUAACAGGCUGAUACCGCCCAAGAGUUCAUAUCGACGGCGGUGUUUGGCACCUCGAUGUCGGCUCAUCACAUCCUGGGGCUGAAGUAGGUCCCAAGGGUAUGGCUGUUCGCCAUUUAAAGUGGUACGCGAGCUGGGUUUAGAACGUCGUGAGACAGUUCGGUCCCUAUCUGCCGUGGGCGCUGGAGAAUUGAGGGGGGCUGCUCCUAGUACGAGAGGACCGGAGUGGACGCAUCACUGGUGUUCGGGUUGUCAUGCCAAUGGCACUGCCCGGUAGCUAAAUGCGGAAGAGAUAAGUGCUGAAAGCAUCUAAGCACGAAACUUGCCCCGAGAUGAGUUCUCCCUGAGACUUUAAGUCUCCUGAAGGAACGUUGAAGACGACGACGUUGAUAGGUCGGGUGUGUAAGCGCAGCGAUGCGUUGAGCUAACCGAUACUAAUGAACCGUGAGGCUUAACCUU
rnacentral:rRNA from 2 species